UCACUUAACGAUGGAUCUCUUGGCUCUUGGUAUGAUGAAGAACGCAGCGAAAUGCGAUACGUAAUGUGAAUUGCAGGAUUCAGUGAAUCAUCAAAUCUUUGAACGCACAUUGCGCCCUUGAUUCGUCUUGGGCAUGCAUAGUUCAGUCUUUGUAAACAAAACUCCAAUUUCAUUUAUUUGAGAUUAGGAAAACGUUUGUGAGAUGUCAAAAUCUCUCAAAUUUGUUUGAGUCGGUUCCGCGUCGGACCUCUUGACCUUGGGCAACUGUCUGGGGAAUUUAGUGUCUAUCACAACGAACUUCAAAUUUGUUUAUCCCUUAAGCUGAUCUUAUGUAAAACUACCCGCUGAAUUUAAACAUAUUAUUAAGCGGAGGAAAAGAAAAUAACUAUGAUUCCCUUAGUAAUGGCGAACGAACAGGGAUCAGUUCAAGCCUUUAAUCCUUCCCCUUGGGGACAGGAGUUGUGGUCUACCCCUUGUUUAUCUGUACCGUCGUCCCGACUAGAUCUAGCGAGAUAUAGUGUCACAGAGGGUUUCAACCCCGUCUGUUGGGAUUGUGUGUACUUAAGAUAGCUUUGGUGUGAGUCGUGUUGCUUGGGACUGCAGCACUAAUUGGGAGGUAAUAUCCUUCUAAAACUAAAUAUUACCAGGAGACCGAUAGCGAACAAGUACCGUGAGGGAAAGAUGAAAAGGAAUUUGAAAAGAANNNNNNNNUGUUCAUGCGUGCAUGUCACUGGAGUACACAAUUGGUUAACUGAGGAGAGAUUGUUCUUGUUCGUCUGUAGUCGUGAUUUUGAUUUCUUUUGUUUCCGCCACGGUGGGAUGAUUGAUUUUGGCUUCCUUCUGCUUUCGUUUGUUCAUCUUGACGUUAUUGGCGUUGUUAUCCGACCCGUCUUGAAACACGGACCAAGGAGUCUAACGUAUGUGCGAGUCCUCGAGUUGUAAACUCCAAGGCGUAGAGAAAUCGAUUGAAUGAUAACACUUAGUGUUCCUCAUCGGCUGUGAUUGAUUCUUCGGAUGAAGAAUACUCGCUUGAGCAUGUAUGUUGGGACCCGAAAGAUGGUGAACUAUGCUUGAUCAGGUUGAAGCCAGGGGAAACCCUGGUGGAGGACCGUAGAGAUACUGACGUGCAAAUCGUUCUUCAGAAUUGAGUAUAGGGGCGAAAGACUAAUCGAACCAUCUAGUAGCUGGUUCCCUCCGAAGUUUCCCUCAGGAUAGCUGGAGUUCUUAGGAGCCACGUGAGGUAAAGCGAAUGAUUGGAGGACUUGGGUUUGAAACAUUCUCUGCCUACUCUCAAACUUUAAAUGUGCGUGAACAUCUGAUUGCUUAGUUGAAUCGGGUUGUAGGGUCUAGAAUUCUUAGUGGGCCAUUUUUGGUAAGCAGAACUGGCGAUGCGGGAUGCUCCGGAAGCUGGGUUAAGGUGCCUAACUAAUCGCUCAUUCAGAUACCAUGAAAGGUGUUGGUUGAUUUAGACAGCAGGACGGUGGUCAUGGAAGUUGAAAUCCGCUAAGGAGUGUGUAACAACUCACCUGCCGAAUCAAGUAGCCCUGAAAAUGGAUGGCGCUCAAGCGAUUGACCGAUACUCAGCCAUCUGUGCUUUUGUGAUGCAUAGAUGAGUAGGAGGGCGUGACGAUAGUGCCGAAGGUGUGGCGGUGACGUCCACUGAAGCUGUCGUUAGUGCAGAUCUUGGUGUUAGUAGCAAAUAUUCAAAUGAAAACUUUGAAGGCCGAAGUGGAGAAAGGUUUCACGUGAAGUUUAAUGCGACGUGAGUGACCCAGUCCUAAUCGUCUCCUGAAAUGGAAAGAUAGGUUGCUUAGGCACCAUCACGAGAAAGGGAAACCGGUUAAUAUUCCGGUGGUGCAACCACGAUGCUAAGCGGUGACGCUGUAGAACCGGGUGACGCCAGCGAGGUCCCUGGAAAGAGUUUUCUUUUCUUUUUAACAAAUUGACAGGGAAUGGAAUGGGAUUAUCCCGAGAUAUUCCGUGUUGUUUGGCAAAGCAGGUGACUUUCUCACCUGUCCGGUGCGAUCUCGAUGGUCCAUGAAAAGCCUGGGGAUUAUUUACAUCAGAGUUGUAGCUGUACUCAUAACCGCAUCAGGUCUCCAAGGUGAAUAGCCUCUGGUCGAUGUGAUAAUGUAGGUAAGGGAAGUCGGCAAAUUAGGUCUGUAACUUCGGGAAAAAGACUGGCUCUUAGGGCUGGGCGUAUGAGGCUCGAAAUUGAAAUCUCCUAUUUCCGUCGUCUGGCUAGCUCUUCGGGGCAGGCCGAAUGAUCGUGAUUUGGGUGAUGGAUUUUUCGGGAUGCUUCGGCGAUCUCUGCGUAUUUAACAGCUAACUGAGAACUGGCGCGGACAAGGGGAAUCCGACUGUUUAAUUAAAACAAAGCAUUGUGAUGGUCGGAAACGAUGUUGACACAAUGUGAUUUCUGCCCAGUGCUCUGGAUGUCAAAGUGAUGAAAUUCAAGGAAGCGCGGGUAAACGGCGGGAGUAACUAUGACUCUCUUAAGGUAGCCAAAUGCCUCGUCAUCUAAUUAGUGACGCGCAUGAAUGGAUUAAC
rnacentral:rRNA from 1 species